rnacentral:rRNA from 1 species
ACUACGGGUGUCAGCAGUGAGGAAUAUUGGUCAAUGGGCGGGAGCCUGAACCAGCCAAGCCGCGUGAGGGAAGAAGGUACAGCGUAUCGUAAACCUCUUUUGUCAGGGAACAAAGGCGGGGACUAGUCCCCGGCUGAGGGUACCUGAAGAAACAGCCUCGGCUAACUCCGUGCCAGCAGCCGCGGUAAUACGGAGGAUGCGAGCGUUAUCCGGAUUUAUUGGGUUGAAAGGGUGCGCAGGCGGCCUGUUAGGUCAGCGGUAAAAGCCCGGGGCUCAACCCCGGCGAGCCGUGGAAACUGGCGGGCUGGAGUUGGAGAGAAGUACGCGGAAUGCGUGGUGUAGCGGUGAAAUGCUUAGAUAUCGCGCAGAACCCCGAUUGCGAAGGCAGCGUACCGGCUCCACACUGACGCUGAGGCACGAAAGCGUGGGUAUCGAACAGGAUUAGAUACCCCGGUAGUC